UACGUAGGGGGCAAGCGUUAUCCGGAUUUACUGGGUGUAAAGGGAGCGCAGACGGAACUGCAAGUCUGAUGUGAAGGCCCGGGGCUCAACCGCGGGACUGCAUCGGAUACUGUAGAUCUGGAGUGCCGGAGGGGCAAGCGGAAUUCCUGGUGUAGCGGUGAAAUGCGUAGAUAUCAGGAGGAACACCCGUGGCGAAGGCUGCUACCUGGAACGUUACUGACGCUGAGGCGCGAAAGCUAGGGGAGCGAACGGGAUUAGAUACCCCCGUAGU
rnacentral:rRNA from 1 species